CCCUUAGAUGUCCUGGGCCGCACGCGCGCUACACUGAUGCAUUCAACGAGUAUUUCCUUGGCCGAGAGGCCUGGGCAAUCUUUUAAACCUGCAUCGUGAUAGGGAUAGAUUAUUGCAAUUAUUAAUCUUGAACGAGGGAUUCCUAGUAAACGCAAAUCAUCAAUUUGCAUUGAUUACGUCCCUGCCCUUUGUACACACCGCCCGUCGCACCUACCGAUUGAAUGGUCCGGUGAAAUCUCGGGAUUGUGGCCAGUUCACUUUAUUGGGAGUUGGCUGCGAGAACUUGCUUAAACCUUAUCAUUUAGAGGAAGGUGAAGUCGUAACA
rnacentral:rRNA from 1 species